rfam:Planomonospora sphaerica DNA, contig: NODE_29_L25899_C31.
CUUGAUCGAACCCAGCCAGAGCGGCCGGUCCUCCGGCCGGUCCUGACCGUAGGCGGCGAUCACCGCCUGCGCCUC